rnacentral:lncRNA from 1 species
UGUCACAUGAACAGAAAAAGUUAGGUACGCAGACACAUUAAAAGAUUGAAUACGACUAGACUCAUGAGCUGAAGACACCAGGCUCCAUCCCAGUGUACAAGGCAUGAACUUCCCAGUGUCUCCACCCUACUCUCCUGUGUGCAGGGGGUUCCAGAUAGUUUGAUUAGUUUUUUAGGCAAUAAAUCUCUGAUUCUGGAGCUACUAAAAAUUCCUACACUUAAAAGAGAUUUUGUCAUGCUGGGACUAUUCACAUUGAAAUAAUCACAGAAAAGUCAGCUGUAAGAGUUAAUGUAAGUAUGACUAGCAUACAGAACCUUAAGUAUAAAGCAACUGGAAUAAGAGAAUCUUUGAAAUUGAUUUAAGUCUAUC